AAAGAGAACCGGCGUGGCGUAAAAUGGAACUAACAUUAUGAUUUUUACAUGGCAACCCAAUCCAGCCAUCUGUCAAAUGUCAAACGUGAUUUCGCAUUGAUACAGUUUUUUGUCGUGUUGUUUUCUUGUGAUUUUUGAUUAAAAUCAUGUCGAAAAGAGGUAAAACCUUACGCAGUUCUACAAGGGAAUUAAUAUUUAAUAUUAUUCAGUUUUGCCAGAGAGAGAAAUCCGCGAAACACACCAUUAUUGACCUAAACAAAGUCACGGAACGUGUGGCAGCUAUGUCCUGCUUAAGUAGAGAUACAAUAUCUAAAAUAAAAAAAGAAGGUUCCACAAAUAACGGCGUGUGGUG